UACGGAGGGGGCUAGCGUUGUUCGGAAUUACUGGGCGUAAAGCGCGCCUACGCGGACCUGCAAGUGGGGGGUGAAAGCCCGAGGCUCAACCUCGGAACUGCCUUCGAUACUGCGGGUCUCGAGUCCGGGAGAGGUGAGUGGAAUUCCUAGUGUAGAGGUGAAAUUCGUAGAUAUUAGGAAGAACACCAGUGGAGAAGGUGGCUCACAGGCCCGGUAAUGACGCUGAGGCGCGAAAGCGUGGGGAGCAAACAGG
rnacentral:rRNA from 1 species